AACGAACGCUGGCGGCAUGCCUAACACAUGCAAGUCGAACGAGCCCUUCGGGUCUCGUGGCGCACGGGUGCGUCACGCGUGGGCAUCUCCCCUCAGGUUCGGAAUAACUCAGCGAAAUUUGAGCUAAUCCCGGACGAUGACGUAAGGCCAAACAUUCAUCGCCUGAGGAUGAGCCCGCGUAGGAUUAGGUAGUUGGGGAGCUAAAGGCUCACCCACCCGACGAUCCUUAGCUGGUCUGAGAGGAUGAUCAGCCACACUGGGACUGAGACACGGCCCAGACUCCUACGGGAGGCAGCAGGAGGGAAUAUUAGACAAUGGGCGAAAGCCUGAUCCAGCAAUGCCGCGUGAGUGAUGAAGGCCUUAGGGUUGUAAAGCUCUUUUACCCGGGAUGAUAAUGACAGUACCGGGAGAAUAAGCUCCGGCUAACUCCGUG
rnacentral:rRNA from 1 species